AUGUUGAGGUGGAGGACCUGGCGGAGGGGCAGACGCCUCACACCAAGGCGCAAAGCAGGACGAUGGUACCCGAUCUCGCUCGUGGAGGACCUGGACCCGCGCGUGCCCACCCCGUUCCAGCUCCUCAACCGUGACCUCGUCAUCUGGAACGACCCCAACUCCGGCGAGUGGGUCACGCUCGAUGACCGCUGCCCGCACCGCCUCGCCCUGCUCCCGGCCUGGGCGCUGCGCUCGCCCAGGGCCUGCGCCACCAAGUUCCCCACGCUCCUCUCCCAGGGGCUGCUCUUCGUCUGGCCUGACGAGAAGGGCUGGGACAAGGCCAAGGCCACCAAGUCUCCAAUGCUGCCGAAGGAGUUCAAUGACCCGACCUUCUCCACCGUGACGAUCGAGAGGGACUUCUUCUAUGGGUAUGACACGUUGAUGGAGAACGUCUCUGAUCCCUCGCAUAUAGAAUUUGCUCACUACAAGGGCUUCCGAGUCUGCACCCUGUCGUCUGGACGGAGCAAGGAGGGGGCAUCGUCCAUACUGCGGAGUUGGUUGAGCCUUGAGUGCGACCUGGAGAAGCAGUGCAUCAUCUGGGGUCAUCUCUUGCUUGUGCCAUGGUAA
rnacentral:rRNA from 1 species